UACAGAGGGUGCGAGCGUUAUUCGGAAUGACUGGGCGUAAAGGGCGCGUAGGCGGUCUUGCAAGUCCUGUGUGAAAUCCCUCGGCUCAACUGAGGAACUGCACAGGAAACUGCUUGGCUUGAGUUCGGGAGAGGGAAGCGGAAUUCCGGGUGUAGCGGUGAAAUGCGUAGAUAUCCGGAGGAACACCGGUGGCGAAGGCGGCUUCCUGGACCGACACUGACGCUGAGGCGCGAAAGCUAGGGGAGCAAACGGG
rnacentral:rRNA from 1 species